rnacentral:rRNA from 1 species
AUACGUAGGGGGCGAGCGUUGUCCGGAAUGAUUGGGCGUAAAGGGCGCGUAGGCGGCUUUGCAAGUCAGUAGUGGAAGUCCAUUUUUCAAGGAUGGAAGUGCUACAGAAACUGCGGAGCUUGAGUGCAGGAGAGGUUAUCGGAAUUCCCGGUGUAGCGGUGAAAUGCGUAGAGAUCGGGAGGAACACCAGUGGCGAAGGCGGGUAACUGGACUGCAACUGACGCUGAGGCGCGAAAGUGUGGGGAGCAAACAGGAUUAGAUACCCUGGUAGUCCACACCGUAAACGAUGAAUGCUAGGUGUAGGAGGUAUCGACCCCUUCUGUGCCGCAGUAAACACAGUAAGCAUUCCGCCUGGGCAGUACGGUCGCAAGAUUAAAACUCAAAUGAAUUGACGGGG